UACGUAUGGUGCAAGCGUUAUCCGGAUUUACUGGGUGUAAAGGGAGCGUAGACGGCGAAGCAAGCCAGAUGUGAAAGGCUGGGGCUCAACCCCGGGACUGCAUUUGGAACUGUUUUGCUAGAGUGUCGGAGAGGUAAGUGGAAUUCCUAGUGUAGCGGUGAAAUGCGUAGAUAUUAGGAGGAACACCGGUGGCGAAGGCGGCUUACUGGACGGCAACUGACGUUGAGGCUCGAAAGCGUGGGGAGCAAAC
rnacentral:rRNA from 1 species